rnacentral:rRNA from 1 species
GACGAACGCUGGCGGCGUGCUUAACACAUGCAAGUCGAACGGAAAGGCCCUGCUUUUGUGGGGUGCUCUAGUGGCGAACGGGUGGGUAACACGUGAGUAACCUGCCCUUGACUUUGGGAUAACUUCAGGAAACUGGGGCUAAUACCGGAUAGGAGCUCCUGCUGCAUGGUGGGGGUUGGAAAGUUUCGGCGGUUGGGGAUGGACUCGCGGCUUAUCAGCUUGUUGGUGGGGUAGUGGCUUACCAAGGCUUUGACGGGUAGCCGGCCUGAGAGGGUGACCGGCCACAUUGGGACUGAGAUACGGCCCAGACUCCUACGGGAGGCAGCAGUGGGGAAUAUUGCUCAAUGGGCGGAAGCCUGAUGCAGCAACGCCGCGUGCGGGAUGACGGCCUUCGGGUUGUAAACCGCUUUCGCCUGUGACGAAGCGUGAGUGACGGUAAUGGGUAAAGAAGCACCGGCUAACUACGUG